CCUACGGGUGGCAGCAGUGGGGAAUAUUGCACAAUGGGCGAAAGCCUGAUGCAGCAACGCCGCGUGAAGGAAGAAGGGUUUCGGCUCGUAAACUUCUAUCAACAGGGACGAAAGAAAUGACGGUACUUGAGGAGGAAGCCCCGGCUAACUACGUGCCAGCAGCCGCGGUAAUACGUAGGGGGCUAGCGUUAUCCGGGAUUACUGGGCGUAAAGGGUGCGUAGGUGGUUUCUUAAGUCAGAGGUGAAAGGCUACGGCUCAACCGUAGUAAGCCUUUGAAACUGGGAAACUUGAGUGCAGGAGAGGAGAGUGGAAUUCCUAGUGUAGCGGUGAAAUGCGUAGAUAUUAGGAGGAACACCAGUUGCGAAGGCGGCUCUCUGGACUGUAACUGACACUGAGGCACGAAAGCGUGGGGAGCAAACAGGAUUAGAUACCCGAGUAGUC
rnacentral:rRNA from 1 species